GGCAGCAGUGGGGAAUCUUGCACAAUGGGCGAAAGCCUGAUGCAGCCAUGCCGCGUGAAUGAUGAAUGCCCUAUGGUUGGUAAAUUCUUUCAUCAAGGACGAAAAUGACGGUGCCUCGGGAAGAAGCCCCGGUUAUCUUCGUGCGAGCAGCCGCGGUAUUACGAAGGGGGCUAGCGUUGUGCGGAAUUACUGGGGCGUAUAGCGCGCGUAUGCGGAGUAUUAAGCCCGAUGUGUGAUCUCGCGGCUCUCCCUCUGAGCUGCGUAUGGAACUGUUAGUCUAUAGGCCAGGAGAGGUUUUUGGAAUGCCGAGUGUAGAGGUGAAAUUCGUAGAUAUUCGGUGGAACAACCAGUGGCGAAGGCGACUGACUGGACUGGUACUGACGCUGAGGUGCGAAAGUUUGGGGAGCAAACAGGAUUAGAUACCCUGGUAGUCCACACCGUAAACGAUGAGUGCUAGUUGUCGGCAGGCAUGCCUGUCGGUGACGCAGCUAACGCAUUAAGCACUCCGCCUGGGGAGUACGGCCGCAAGGUUAAAACUCAAAGAAAUUGACGGGGGCCCGCACAAGCGGCGGAGCAUGUGGUUUAAUUCGAAGCAACGCGCAGAACCUUACCUACCCUUGACAUGCCCGGUUUGGUCGCCAGAGAUGGCUUCCUUGAUUCGUUCGCCGGUGCACAGGUGCUGCAUGGCUGUCGUCAGCUCGUGUCGUGAGAUGUUGGGUUAAGUCCCGCAACGAGCGCAACCCUCAUCCUUAGUUGCCAUCAGGUUUGGCUGGGCACUCUAAGGAAACUGCCGGUGGCAAGCCGGAGGAAGGUGGGGAUGACGUCAAGUCCUCAUGGCCCUUACGGGUAGGGCUACACACGUGCUACAAUGGCAGUGACAAUGGGAUAAUCCCCAAAAACUGUCUCAGUUCGGAUUGUCGUCUGCAACUCGACGGCAUGAAGUUGGAAUCGCUAGUAAUCGUGGAUCAGCAUGCCACGGUGAUACGUUCCCGGGCCUUGUACACACCGCCCGUCACAUCAUGGGAGUUGGUUCUACCC
rnacentral:rRNA from 1 species